GAAUUUAUUUUUAUUUCCCUCAAGCAAGAUCUCACCUAGGGCCUGUCAUGGCAAAUAGUGUCCCCCUGCCAACUAGUGUUCCCAUCCUGCGUCACAAUGGGAUUCGAUGAGUUCUAGCUUCUGUUGCUAGGGCUGUUGCUAGAACUUGCAAAAUUCUGACCGGAUUACGUAAUGAACCAAAGCAUCCGUUGCUAUGCUGGUUGCUUGGCUCUAUUUGACCUUGUAGCAGUCACAAAGGAAGGAGGACGCGGGCAGUUCUUGUUCUAUUUCACCUCAAAACGCUCGCUCAGUCCGUGCAAAUUUAUUACCUCAGAAUUGCUCUCCAAGGAUGGUGUUUUUCACAGUGACAACCUGCUGACUACCUGCUGCCUCAAAGGAGCAAAAAUACUGGAAAGAGAACACUUUCUUUACCAUAUCGUUGUUUUUAUAUAAGAAAAUAUUUUUAAAUAGGAAGAAAUAAUUUAAGCUGUUUUUAGAUUGACUUUGCUAGCUAGUGUACUUAUUUACCUCAGCCUGCCUAGUCAGAUAGCCAGCUACCGUAGAGACGCAACAACAUUCAGAGACAUUCAGAGUAACGUUAAGCAAUUAACUUCUAUUAGAUAACUGGACGGAUUUAGCCAUGUACAACCAUUUUUCAACAACCAUUUUCCAUCGAGCAAGUUGGUCAUCUACAUGUUGCUAGCUAUACAUAUGUCAUAUUGAGGUAUCUAGCUAUAAGUUAAACCUGAUAAAUCAAAUGGAUAGGUGUAAGCAAUUAUGGUCAUUUCAAAUGCCCUUAACUAGGUGUCUUCGCUAGACAGACACAGAGGAGCGGGAGGAAGUAAGAAAGAAAGGAUGAAAGUGAGAGAGGGAGGGAGGUGGGAAGAGAGUGGAAGACAGACAGAAAGAAACCGAGAGAGAAAGACAGCAGUGCAAAUGUACUUAGACUUGAGUAUUUCAGCAACUCUUCUCUUCCAACUUGUUAGGCAAUCAUAUGUAUGGGGAAGGAUGGCCAGCCACACAGGAGGGUGAUUUUUACUAAGGAGGAGAAGGAGGCCGUGCUGGCCAUUUCAGAGUGAAGCGCAUGAUUGCCUAAAUCAACCUACACUUCUUCUGACGGGGAAUUGUCAAGGGGUUGGACAGCUGGGGAAUUGAAAUAACCUUCUGUUUAUCAAUCACAUUCUAUUACAGUAUAUCUGAAAUUAUUAUGAUUUCAAUGAAUGUCAUAUCAGAGCGCACACAAUGUGCACACAAAAUAACCUGAAGCUAGUGUUAGUUUCCCUAGCACUGAUAUUUUUCUAUUUGUCUUCCUAGGGUUACCUUGGUGGAAGCCAACAAUCUUCUCCAGUUGGAGCAGUUGGACGGUCGACCACUGAACGCACUGACGCCCUACACUGUGGUGAAGCCCAAUAGACAAAGUAUGUUAAGCUUUGGUUGACAUUUGAGAAAGCAAGAAAUGGUAGUUAUGCUGAGCUUAUAAAAAUGUACCUCUUCAAUUUACCUCUCCAAAUGACUUCGACUGGCUCGGACAUCGACUGUCCGAGCCCCCCAGGAGGUAUCCCAUCUACCAGAACCAGUGAGUUCAGAUCAGUCUGAUUCUCUGUGCUCUGAGUCGGAGGGGGACUAGCUAUAGGACCUAGGGGUUCUGCCCAACACCCAGACGUGGGUCCACCUGAUGUCCUCCAUUACCAACCACCUUCCAACUUUUCAUUACAUCAUCUACAGCUACUGUUAUUGUCAUGUUGUCAUUAUCUGCUAAGAAACUUUUAUUUCUUUAUCAUACUGGGCACAUAAUAUGUGACAUACCCAGAUUAACUAAAACACUAGCACUGCAAACACUCAGAACAAAGAGAGCAGUCACCCUCUUCAAGUCCCCCUUCCGAGACUGGCUAGUUGUUGAGAACAAAUGACAGGCAGAACCUCCCAACCAUACAGCAACCACCUCCGGAAUAUUCCACAUACUAGAAUUCAGUAUUUUAGUCUAUAAUUGUCAUGUGAGUGUACAAAACAUCUGUAAAAAUAAAUGAAUGACACAACUGUACCAAAAAAAUAUCAAAUUUGUAUUAAAAUCUUAAACCUUGCCAGGUUGAUUUUCAAA